GGAAUUGUUGUGGGCGAGUUUCCUGCUUUGCAAGCAGGGGGUCGCCGGUUCGAUCCCGGCCACGUCCACCA
rnacentral:tRNA from 1 species